AUGAACGCUAGCUACAGGCUUAACACAUGCAAGUCGAGGGGCAUCAGGAAGAAAGCUUGCUUUCUUUGCUGGCGACCGGCGCACGGGUGAGUAACACGUAUCCAACCUGCCCUUUACUCGGGGAUAGCCUUUCGAAAGAAAGAUUAAUACCCGAUAGCAUAAUGAUUCCGCAUGGUUUCAUUAUUAAAGGAUUCCGGUAAAGGAUGGGGAUGCGUUCCAUUAGGUUGUUGGUGAGGUAACGGCUCACCAAGCCUUCGAUGGAUAGGGGUUCUGAGAGGAAGGUCCCCCACAUUGGAACUGAGACACGGUCCAAACUCCUACGGGAGGCAGCAGUGAGGAAUAUUGGUCAAUGGGCGCUAGCCUGAACCAGCCAAGUAGCGUGAAGGAUGAAGGCUCUAUGGGUCGUAAACUUCUUUUAUAUAAGAAUAAAGUGCAGUAUGUAUACUGUUUUGUAUGUAUUAUAUGAAUAAGGAUCGGCUAACUCCGUGCCAGCAGCCGCGGUAAUACGGAGGAUCCGAGCGUUAUCCGGAUUUAUUGGGUUUAAAGGGAGCGUAGGUGGACUGGUAAGUCAGUUGUGAAAGUUUGCGGCUCAACCGUAAAAUUGCAGUUGAUACUGUCAGUCUUGAGUACAGUAGAGGUGGGCGGAAUUCGUGGUGUAGCGGUGAAAUGCUUAGAUAUCACGAAGAACUCCGAUUGCGAAGGCAGCUCACUGGACUGCAACUGACACUGAUGCUCGAAAGUGUGGGUAUCAAACAGGAUUAGAUACCCUGGUAGUCCACACAGUAAACGAUGAAUACUCGCUGUUUGCGAUAUACAGUAAGCGGCCAAGCGAAAGCAUUAAGUAUUCCACCUGGGGAGUACGCCGGCAACGGUGAAACUCAAAGGAAUUGACGGGGGCCCGCACAAGCGGAGGAACAUGUGGUUUAAUUCGAUGAUACGCGAGGAACCUUACCCGGGCUUAAAUUGCAGUGGAAUGAUGUGGAAACAUGUCAGUGAGCAAUCACCGCUGUGAAGGUGCUGCAUGGUUGUCGUCAGCUCGUGCCGUGAGGUGUCGGCUUAAGUGCCAUAACGAGCGCAACCCUUAUCUUUAGUUACUAACAGGUCAUGCUGAGGACUCUGGAGAGACUGCCGUCGUAAGAUGUGAGGAAGGUGGGGAUGACGUCAAAUCAGCACGGCCCUUACGUCCGGGGCUACACACGUGUUACAAUGGGGGGUACAGAAGGCAGCUAGCGGGUGACCGUAUGCUAAUCCCAAAAUCCUCUCUCAGUUCGGAUCGAAGUCUGCAACCCGACUUCGUGAAGCUGGAUUCGCUAGUAAUCGCGCAUCAGCCACGGCGCGGUGAAUACGUUCCCGGGCCUUGUACACACCGCCCGUCAAGCCAUGGGAGCCGGGGGUACCUGAAGUACGUAACCGCAAGGAUCGUCCUAGGGUAAAACUGGUGACUGGGGCU
rnacentral:rRNA from 1 species